UACAGAGGGUGCAAGCGUUAAUCGGAAUUACUGGGCGUAAAGUGUGCGCAGGAGGCAAAGCAAGUCGAGUGUGAAAGCCCCGGGCUUAACUUGGGAAUUGCGCUCGAAACUACUUUGCUGGAGUGUGGCAGAGGAAGGUGGAAUUCCACGUGUAGCGGUGAAAUGCGUAGAGAUGUGGAGGAACACCAAUGGCGAAGGCAGCCUUCUGGGCCAACACUGACGCUCAUGCACGAAAGCGUGGGGAGCAAACAGG
rnacentral:rRNA from 1 species